rnacentral:misc_RNA from 1 species
AGUUGGGUGGAUAUAGUUAGCGUUUUAUCAUGGGAAGCUGCUUCAUUUUUGAAACCUGAUGCAAUUGAUGGGAAAGGAAUGGAUCCAGAUGGCUAUGUGAAAGUGAAAUGCAUUGCAACAGGCUCACGUAAUGAAAGUCAAGUAGUUAAGGGCUUAGUCUUCAAAAAGCGUGCUGCUCACAAGCACAUGCCAACUAAUUACAAGAACC